AUGCCCCCCCUGUCCCUCGUCCCUUCCGUCGGGCGAAGCAGCCAAGCACCACCUCUCGCCACGAGGGCGAAGGCGGAGGAGCCGAUAGAAGGAGAAGACCAUCUCGGCGUGGCGCCGCCCCCAAAUUAUUGUUGGGGGGCAAAACGCUCGCGGACGAACAACAACAACUGGAGGGACUGGUCCAACCUAGACGAUGGGCCGUUAGCUGCUCCAAACCGCCGUUGCUUCCUGAACUCCUUCACCGGCGAGUUCAUCCAAGUGGACCUCCCGGAGCUCCUUGACCAUGAGCUUCUUGCUGUCACCCCGGAGGGCCUCCUUGUCCUGUUCCAUGACCACAACCACGUCCGCCUGCUCAACCCACUCACGCGUCACGUCACAGAGCUACCACCGCUCACCACGCUGCUUCCUUCUAAACACCAUGUCAUGCUUUCCUAUUUCAACAUAGACGACUUCUUAGCGACAGGCUCUGGCAUUGCUAGUGAUGAUUCAACAGUGGUGCUCUGCUUCAAUAGGUUCCGCAUUCUUGGCAUGGCAAAGCCCGGUGAUGACCACUGGAUUUUGCUGAAGUACAACCAUGAUGGGUUCACAUACACACCCUUAAUGUUUGCAGGGCGCUUCUACUAUGUUAAGGUUGAUGGUGUCAUGGCGCUGCAAAUCUGUCCUAACCAGCCACCACGGCUGGAGGUGGCUGCCAAGCUGAAUAUGCAUGUCUCACCAAUUUCGGAAGGGUUGCACCUCGUCAACAGUUGUGGUGACUUGAUGCUGAUCCACCGUCAGACUGUUCCAUUGACGUCGCUGGAUAAAUCGUGUUAUCAGUAUGACAUGUAUCGAGUGAAUUUGGAUACCGGAACACUAUUACCAGUCAAGAGCUUGGGUGGUGGCGCAGGGCGAGCGAUGUUCUGGGGCAUGCAUUGCUCUUUCUCGGUGCCUCUAGAGGUUUUUCCCUCUGGCUCCAUUAGCGCUGACACCAUCUACCCGAGCUUUGACUUUACUGAGAGAAGCCUGUUAGAAGUUGGAGCAUAUCAUCUCCUGGAUGGACACAUUGAUCGACCAUCUGGCUUGUUGCAGCGGCCGAAUACUCUGGUUGACUGUCUAUCUUUGUCCAAUACGGUUGAUGAUGAGUAG
rnacentral:rRNA from 1 species